rnacentral:lncRNA from 1 species
GGUUAUACAUGGGGGAUUGAGAUUUUAUGAAAAGCUUGAUAGAGCGUUGAGUAAAGAUAUUUGGAGAAUUCAAUUUCCAGAUGCGCGUGUUCAAGUUCUAACUAGACUUGAUUACUCUGACCACCACCCAAUUGGUGUCACUAACUGAUAAAGAUCAUAGGAUGAUGGCCACACUUUCAAGUUUGAAUGCGCUUGGCUUUUAGAAAAUACAAUAGGCUUAAAAGGGCUUGGAAAGAAGGUAGCAG